AACAAUCAUCUCUCCAAGGGAGAGUGAUGUUGCGGGGUUAAUUCUCCUAAAUAUAAUCAAGGAAGUCCAAAAAUUAAAUCCAGUGCAUGUAUUAAUGAUGAUAAGUGAUCUGCUCAAGUAAAUGACACAGGAAGGAAAACUCAGAGCAACUCCAAAGGACAAAUGAUUAAUCAUCGGAACAAACAAUUCCUCAGCAUGUAAACAGCAGCAAAAAGGGCCUUGCCAGAGAAUACAGAGAAUCCAGGCUCGAAGAGUGAAAUAAAGAGCAGAGCUAGAAAACCUCCUUCACCGCUUCUCCCUCCCAAGUGCCCUGCUUGUUUCUCUGAGCUAACACAGCAGAGUGCCCUUGUGCUGGUGAGAGGCACAGGCAGCACAACAUAUUUCAGUAACCCUGAUUACCCUUUAGAGCCGAAGAAAAGAGGAGAUGGCAGAUGGCACUAAAGAAAUCCCCUUAGAUGCAGACCCAGACCCAGCCUGUUUGUUCACACAGUGGACAAGCAUCAACAUGCCAAGCACAGCUCUGGAGACAAGACAAAGUAGUCAAGAAAGAAAAGGAGAGAAAAAAAAAAGACUACACGAACUCCAGACCUAUCCUUAUCCCAAGAGCAGCAC